AGUGAACGCUGGCGGUAGGCCUAACACAUGCAAGUCGAACGGCAGCACAGUAAGAGCUUGCUCUUACGGGUGGCGAGUGGCGGACGGGUGAGGAAUACAUCGGAAUCUACUUUUUCGUGGGGGAUAACGUAGGGAAACUUACGCUAAUACCGCAUACGACCUACGGGUGAAAGCAGGGGAUCUUCGGACCUUGCGCGAUUGAAUGAGCCGAUGUCGGAUUAGCUAGUUGGCGGGGUAAGGGCCCACCAAGGUGACGAUCCGUAGCUGGUCUGAGAGGAUGAUCAGCCACACUGGAACUGAGACACGGUCCAGACUCCUACGGGAGGCAGCAGUGGGGAAUAUUGGACAAUGGGCGCAAGCCUGAUCCAGCCAUACCGCGUGGGUGAAGAAGGCCUUCGGGUUGUAAAGCCCUUUUGUUGGGAAAGAAAAGCAGCAGGUUAAUACCCCGCUGUUCUGACGGUACCCAAAGAAUAAGCACCGGCUAACUUCGUG
rnacentral:rRNA from 1 species